UUUUGUUUGUUUGUUUUUUUUCUUUUAGUUGAUUUUGAACUUCUGGUACCAGGAAACCCAAAACUAUCUUCUCAGAAACCAUUUUAAAUAGUCUUUCGCAGGGCAUGUGAAGUGUGGAUCAGAGUGGGUUCAGUGUCAGACAUUGCGGUGACUCCAAGUGACUUGUGUCCUCCCCGCUUGGAAGCAGCAUCGUUUGGAAGAACUGGUGUCCCUUAGCAAUUCCUUGGAUUAGAAUUCUUCCAACAAAUGCAGUGGGUGCCAGGGCUGAGUGAGGUUAUCCUUUCCCGUGAAUUUUUAUGAGAACAUUUAUGUCAGCGUAUGCUUCGGCAGACACAUCUGGUCUGCUUUCCGAUGAGCGACAAGAUGCUGACAAAUCAGCAGUUCCUUGCUCCUUCAGUAGCAAGUAGCAAGUUCAGAAGGUGAAGAUGUUCCUCUGGUCUCAACGUAGACGGCUGGUCCUGAGAAAUUCCAAUCUGCUCCCUGUGUCCUGAUGGUACAGACAGCUGACUAUUUUGUUUCAUCCAGUGGCUCAACCUUGGACGUUGUCUCUGCUAGGGAAAUUGAGCCAUUGCCUGUGAUUCCCACUUUUUGGCAUGCAGUUCUGAGCUGAAGGUUGACCUCUGAUGUAUUUUGUUCCUUGGAACUUUUUGGAGGUAAUUAGUUCAGUUAGAACUAAUUACAAGGGGUACGCUUUUUCUUUUGUUUUGUAUAACCAAGAAAAAAAAAUAUUUGAAUUGCAGCAAGCUGGGAGUGCAGUGAACAUUACAGAUGCAUCUCAUUUAUAGCUUAUUUAAUUUAUUUAAGCCUCCUUAACAUAGCUUAUUUUAAAACAAGUGGUUUCUAAACUUUUCUGAUUGCUUCUUGAACAUGUCUCUAUCUUUGAUAGGUGUACAUUGAUGUAUACAUAAACAUCUGUAACAAUGCAUUCAUAUAAUACACACGCACACGUAUAACAUAAACUAAAAUAGUGUAGACAGUUACCUUAAAAUUAAAAUUAAUAUCGAGGUUCUCUUGUGGGUGCAGCGGGUUAAGGAGCCAGCGCUGUCACUGCCACAGCUUGGCCUGUUGCUGUAGCGCAGGGAGGGUUAAUCCCUGGCCCUGGAACUUCCACAUACUGCAGGUGUGGCCAAAAAUAAAUAAACAAGUAAAUAAAUAAAUAAAAUUAAUAUAAAUAGCAGUUUUAGUGUUAUUCUUCUCCCACUCCGAUAGAAUGUCUUGUGUGUCGCUUAGGAUCUGUGCAUCUGGUUUUGGAAAUGACUGCUUGUCUGUGUGUGGACAAGGCAAAUAGGAAAUGAAAUGUCUGAGCCUUCUGUGAGGAAGCACCCUUGUUUCAAAUCCACAAGGAUUGAACUUUCUCUCCUUGCACUUGUCUUAGCAUACACUGCUCUGACAGGUUCCUCCUCCUGCAAGGGAGGCGGAGUGGUAGCGUGGAAAGAGAAUCAAUAAGCCUUUUGGAGUGUUGAAAUCGCAGCUCUGCCAUUACCUAACCUUGCGACUUUGUACAAGUAGUCUGACCUCUUUUACCCUUCAUUUUCAGAGAUUGGGAGGAUCUCAGGCCAGAAGGACCAAAAGAAUGUGCAAUGAAACAUCCUUUCCCUGACCAAGUGUCAGGUAUUUUCAGAUCUAUUCUGAGAAGUUGGUGUGUUUAAGAAGGAUCAAGAUAUUCCUUGGUUGAAAGGGAGGUAGUGUCGGAACUCUGAAACUCACCAGAAAAUAAAGCAGGAGAUACCUGAAAGUGACUUUCAGUGCCUCAGUAUCAUCCACAACAUCCCAAGAGGGGAUUAACUAACUUCCAGCUCUUGGGAUGGAAAACUCAUUUGUUUUUAAAAGUAGACCAUUUGUUCAGUUAAAGAAAAUUUGAACUGAGACUGAGACAAGCAUUAUAUACUUAAUGCUUGAAAACUAAAAAACAAUGCACAAACAUAACAAAGUAAUUUACAUAUACUGUAUAUAUAUUUACAUGCAAAUAUAAAAUACAAAACAGUUUACAUAUAUAUGUAUUUGGCAGCCCUGUGAGACAUCCGUAGACAACUGUUAAAUCUUCUUAGUCUUCUUACCUUUAGCACAAACAUGAUCAGUUCUUUAAAGAAGUCCUCACUUGCAGUGACUUCCAGACUCCUUAUUAUCUUAUUUGCUAUUUUCUGAACCCCCUGGAAUUGACCUGAAGGUUACUAGUUCCUAAAAGGUGACUCCCAAGGUUGGUUUUCUGAACAGGCACCAGCCCCUAGAGAGCACUGCCUCAUUCUGAGAGGCAUCCACUCUGCCUCUUUCUUAUCCACUUGCUCCAAGGAGUCUGUUAGAAAGCAAGCAGGGCUUUAGGUCUUCUGGAUGGAACCCCAUUCUUCACAUGUUUCUAGAUAGCUGGUGUGAAGACUGAAGCCUGAGUAACAGGUGUAUUUUUGAAUCUUAAUCCUCUGUAUCUUUCCACUUGGCUUGGAUCUCUGAAAGCCAAAUCUAGUCAGUUUUCUUAGAUACUAAAACUUGUUCACAUCGUUUGGUUUGCUCUGAUACCAUGGUUUCUGACCUCAUCUUUGCCCUCAGAAUUCCCGUAAUGUUCUGCUCGGAGUGCCCAAGUCCCAGGCCUCAUUUCUUAGUAUUGCUCAUUUUGUAGCUACUCAAGCUUGGAACAGCAGUCCCUCCUUCCUCCCAAUUUUGCCAACCCUUAAUAGCGGUACAAUUCAUUUCACAUUUAAAAUACACAGCUUGUUGGAGUUCCCAUUGUGGCUCCGUGGUUAGCGAACCCGACUAGCAUCCAUGAGGAUGCGGGUUCAAUCCCUGGCCUCACUCAGUGGUUAAGGAUCCGGUGUUGCUGUGGUAUAGGUGACAGACUUGGCUCAGAUCCCAUGUUGUUGUGGCUGUGGCGUAGGUCAGUAGCUACAGCUCUGAUUGGACCCCUAGCCUGGGAACCUCCAUAUGCCAUGGGUGCAGCCCUAGAAAAGACAAAACGACCCCCCCCCAAAAAAAAUACACAGGCUUGUAUAGUCAGUUACCUUUAUAAGUGCACAUCUUGUUUGUCCAGCUGGAUUAUAUAUAGUCUAUAUGUAGGAACUAGAAUAUUUUGCAUCUUGGUUUUUAAUACGACGCCUAGUGUACAUGCUUGGACCAAUUCCAUGCUUCAUAUUUGUAGAGCUAAAGGAAUGGCAAGGUAUUCCCUCUACCUUAAUGUACUUUGGAAACUUUUGAGGACUAAUCACUAUAUUUAUGCUUUGAAUAAUUUCUUUCCUCUUCACUGACUUUGUACAUUGUGUAAUAUACAAGGCAUCCGUAUAAUUUGGGUUGUCAGGAAAAUUAUGACUAAGUUCACUUAUAUAUUAGCUCGUUGUUUCCCUUACUCCCCUCAAUGCUUAUUUCCUAUUUCCAUUUCUAUGAUAUUAAUUUUACCUUAUGCUUCUUUCUUAUUUUUUAGUAAGGCAUUUUAAAGCCCCUUUGAGGAGAAGGGAUAUUAUGAAUAUACUUGCGUAAGGCUCUUUUUAAUAGAAAUAGAAUUAUUUUUAUUAAUUUUCCAUUUAGACAUUUAGAAAGUAUGAUUGGAACUGAACUGGAGAAGAUGUAAGAGGCAGCGAAGGUCUGGAGGCCUGUCCGCUAAAGAAAUAUUCAUUUAUUUUUGCAAAACACACUGAUUAUGUUUUUUUUUUUUUAAAGCAGUGGAAUCUAAGGUGAACCAAAUAACUGGAAUGUCAGAUGGAAAAGAGACUAAAAGAUUCAUGUAUUUCAAAUAAUGCUGCUAAAUUACUCAGAAUAGAGUCAUCUGGACAAAGUCCAAAUUAAUAUGUGAAAGAACGGCAAGUAAUUUCCUUAGAGUAUACCUAAGGAAUACAUUAUCUUCCAGGAUGGACAAAAUAUGAAAAAUACUGAACCUAAAUUAACGUUAAUGACUCUGAGGGACAUAGCGUGACUAUAAAAUUUUAAAUAGAAGAUUUGUGUGUUGUUUUUGAAGUUCUUAUUUAUUUAGGUAUCCUACCUCCUUUAUACCAUGAUGAUGUGACAAGGUGAAAAUGGUGAGUUUCCUAUAAUCAGUGCUGGAGUAUAGAAUAUAUCCCCUACCCACAUUUCAUAGGGAUUUGUUUUAUACUCCUGAUUUUAGCACUUGAGACCAAUAUAUUGGUCUCUAAUAGAUUCAACAAAGUAUUUAUAUUUAAGAGACACAAAUAAAUAAGACGUAGUAAUUGACUUUGGAGAACUUACCAUGUAUUGGGGAACUCACAGUCUGGAAUUAAUCUAGUUACAUCAGGUGCAUUCAUCUUGCGGGUUCACAUAUAUACCCAAGAGCAGUAUGAUAUCUUUGAAUCUUUCUGUUGUGCUGGGUAGCAGUAACAACCCACAGAAAAAUAAUCAGGCUUCUAACCAGAUGGUAUAUAUUGCUGUCAAACUUUUGAGGUAAUCCUGCCAUGAAUUUGCAGUGUAUAAUGUCAGAAAAAGGAAUCACAACCUGAAAGGAAUUAGAAAUGAAUUUAAGAAAAUGAAUUGCUGUCUUACCUGAUACACAGGUAAUUCUCAGAGUGACUGACCAAGUGUGAUCCAAAGACUUCGUGUUCCACAAAUACUUAAUGUUUGAUUGAUCGGGGUAGGGGAGCCCCAAGUCUGUUGGAACUUUGAGAACAGGGUCUCUAGACCACAGCAGUUUAUAAAAUCAGUUCAUGUGUACAUUGUAUAAGGAGUUCCCCUCUUUAAAAGUUUUAUUGAAUUAUAGCUGAUUUACAAUGUUGGGAUAGUUUCCUCUGUGCAACAAAGUGAUUCAGCUGUACAUAUACACAUAUCUAUUUUUCAUCCAGAGUCUUUUCCCAUCUAGGUUAUUACAGGAUUUUGAGUAGCAUUCCCUGUGACAUUCAGCAGAUCCCUGUUGACCACCAUUCCAUAUGCAAUAGUGUGCAUAUGCCAAUCCUGAACCCCCAGUUCAUCCCCCACUCACCUGUCCUUUGUGGUAACCAUAAGUUUGUUUUUGAAGUCUGUGAAUAUAUUUCUAUUUUGUAAACAAGCUCAUUUUUAUCAUUUUAAAAAGAUUCCACAUAUAAGUGAUAUUGUAUGGUGUUUCUUUCUCUGACUUCACUUAGUAUGAUAAUCUCUAGGUUCAUCCAUGUUGCGGCAAAUGGCAUUAUUUAAUUUUUUAUAUGGCUGAGUAAUAUUCCAUUGCAUAUAUAUAUGCUACAUCUUUAUAUAUGUAGUAUAUGUAUAUACUACAUCUUCUUUAUCCAGUCCUCUGUUGGUGGACAUUUAGGUUGCUUCCAUUGUCUUGGCUAUUGCAAAUAGUGCUGCAAUGAACAUUGGGGUGCAUGCAUCAUUUUGAAUUAUGGUUUUCUCCAGAUAAGUACCCAGGAGUGAGAUUGCUGGAUCAUAUGGUGAUUCUAUUUUUAGUUUUUUGAGGAACCUCCAUACUGUUGUCCAUAGUGGUUGUACCAACGUAUAUUUCCACCAUCAGUGUAGAAGGGUUUUAUACAGAAUCCAAAUCCAUGUAGCACGCCUACAUUGCCCCCAGUUACAGAAGACAUCUAGGAUGGAAUUUCUCAAAGAUGCUGCUGGCCUUUUCAAAUGACUACAGUCACUGACUUUGUGAAGAGAAUGUCCUGAAGGUGCUCUCCUGAGAGGGGUUAGAUGGAAGUUCUUGAACCAUAUACAGUCAAUCUAUUUUAGUAGGAAAAAUAAAGAAAAAAUUCAGAAUGCAGUGACCUUCAUGGGCAACUGGCACCUAAUAUUUCUGGGGAUUUCUGGGAGAUGGAGUACAUAUGGAACCCCUCAGAAUGGUCUUAUCCAAGGAAUGAGGGGGCUGAGGGACUAUUUUCUAACUCUCAAGUGUGGUUGAAGGCUAGGGACAUUGACUCCCUAGCACAUCAGGCCAUCUUAGCUGGCCCUCAAAAUGCCCCCAGGUGAAGAGUUUACAGGUGCUUGUAGUUGGAUACCUUUGGGUGCCAAAGGAUGUGGGCAAAACCUCAAUAAAUUUCAGCUGGACAAAUAAACCCAUCCAAAAUUCUUUAGGAUUUGGCUCUCAAGAUCACAUACUUGAUGAUAUUUGUAAUUCUUGUUAUCAGUGGAGAAUUGAGAAGUGAAUGGAAGGAUCAUUUAAUACCAAUAUAGGAAUGCUUCAUUCACCGGACUAUGACUAUACAUGACCAUGAGCGUAAGGAAUUUGUAUCUUUUGAUGACUGUGAUACUCCUACUAUCGGGUAGAAUACCUAAAUAAUUUUUGUUUGACAGCAUUUAUAAUGUCUACUUUCUCCCAGUGUUGAAAUGGAAAGUAUCUCUCUAGUUUUUAAAAUCAUGGUUCAGAGCUUUCUACAAAGUAUUACUCUUUUAACCUGGCCUUGUUUAAAAGUAGGCACUCAAUAUUAUUAGUAGAAUGAAUAAAUGAGCUAGAGAAAGUAAUUAGUACGUACUGUUACAUUUUUAGUCAAGCUAUAUUUAUUUCAACAAAUUUUA
rnacentral:lncRNA from 1 species